CACACGACUCUCGGCAACGGAUAUCUCGGCUCUCGCAUCGAUGAAGAACGUAGCAAAAUGCGAUACCUGGUGUGAAUUGCAGAAUCCCGUGAACCAUCAAGUUUUUGAACGCAAGUUGCGCCCGAGGCCUUCUGGUUGAGGGCACGCCUGCCUAGGCGUCACGC
rnacentral:rRNA from 1 species